rnacentral:rRNA from 1 species
AUGGGUCGAGCCCCCUGCUGUGACAAGGGCAGCGUGAAGAAGGGGCCAUGGUCGCCCGAGGAGGACAGGAAGCUCAAGGACUACAUCCACACCCAUGGCACAGGCGGCAACUGGAUCGCGCUCCCCACCAAAGCCGGCCUGAAGAGGUGCGGGAAGAGCUGCCGCCUGCGUUGGCUCAACUACCUGCGGCCGAACAUCAAGCACGGCGACUUCUCCGAGGAGGAGGACAGGGUGAUCUGCGCCCUCUUCGCCGCCAUCGGCAGCAGGUGGUCCAUCAUCGCCGCGCAGCUCCCCGGGAGGACCGACAACGACGUCAAGAACUACUGGAACACCAAGCUCAAGAAGAAGCAGCUGCACCUGCUCAUCGCCGCCGCCGCUCAGUCCACCCAUGGCCAGCAGUACAGCUCCAGACCACCGGCACCGCCAUUUACCGUUGAGCACCACCACCACACUAGCUCUACCUCUGCUGCAUCUCUAGGCCAGCUCCUCAUGUUUGGAGUCGGAGGAGGCGACCACCACCAGCAGCAGCAGUACAUGUCGUCGAGCUCCUCGGUGGACAUCUCCAACAACACCAGUGCUGCUGCUGCUGCUGCUGCUGCUGCUGGCCUGCAGGAGAGCUUCAUGUUUGGUGGCUUGCAGUUUCAGCAGCAGGAGGAGGACACCAACAGCCUGCUCUCACCAGCAGCAGCAGCAUCUGGGAAUGACAUCAUGACCUAUGAGCAUCAUGAGAUGAUUUCGCCGAGCAGCUUCUUCUUCUACGGCGACGGUGCCGGCGGUGCUGCAGCAACCCAGGAAGGGACUAGGUUCCUUUAUUAG